rnacentral:rRNA from 1 species
AUUGAACGCUGGCGGCAUGCCUUACACAUGCAAGUCGAACGGCAGCACGGGGCAACCUGGUGGCGAGUGGCGAACGGGUGAGUAAUGCAUCGGAACGUGCCAUUGAGUGGGGGAUAACGUAGCGAAAGUUGCGCUAAUACCGCAUAUUCUGUGAGCAGGAAAGCAGGGGACCGCAAGGCCUUGCGCUCUUUGAGCGGCCGAUGUCAGAUUAGCUAGUUGGUGAGGUAACGGCUUACCAAGGCGACGAUCUGUAGUGGGUCUGAGAGGAUGAUCCGCCACACUGGAACUGAGACACGGUCCAGACUCCUACGGGAGGCAGCAGUGGGGAAUUUUGGACAAUGGGCGCAAGCCUGAUCCAGCCAUGCCGCGUGAGUGAAGAAGGCCUCGGUGUAAGACUCUUCGUCCGGUACGGAGUAAUAGACGGUACCGUCGACUAAGAAGACACCGGCGUAACUAACGUACGUCCAGCAGCCGCGGUAAACGUACGUAA